UGCAUCUAAAGUUGAUUGAAG
ensembl:piRNA 21ur-3372 ncRNA